GGGCUUGUGGAUUGGGUUUCACAGCUAACCAUUGCGAUCCUUUCAUCACCUGAAGACCACCGCCGGAAUCUUGAUGAAGUAUUGUAAGAAAAUCGCUGUCCGUGUGUGGCACCAGCCCUGAAACUUCGCCGGAAAAUGGACAAAUUGGGUAGUGAUUCAACCGGAGGAAGCAUGUGCUUUCGUCGCAAAUAUCCUCUAAUAAUUCCUUCCUCUGCCCCAUACUCUCCACUAAAACUCCUGCCAAUUUUCUUGCUACCUUCGACAUCGCGCUUGCCACUUCCUCCAUCACUUCCCUGCCGUUCCAUGAUGUAAGGGCCUAAUGCGAUUACAUCAAUGAAGGCUCUACAUAGGGACCUAAUGCGAUUACAUCAAUGAAGGCUUUGUUGCCCAUGGGAAAAAGGGGUUCAGAAACAUCUGACCUAGGUUACAAAUGUAUAGUAUGAGACUGGUGUAAUAUGUUUAAAUGUCAUGGAUGUUUGAUGGAUUUUAUGGAAAGUUUCUAUAACUUUAUUGCAAUAUGUUUAUAAUGAUUUCCAUGGUAAAAGUAUCAAACAAAACUAUUUGAAAAUUAUGUUUUGCAAAUAUCACUCAUUAGGCAUUUUAA